rnacentral:rRNA from 1 species
GACGAACGCUGGCGGCGUGCUUAACACAUGCAAGUCGAGCGGUAAGGCCCUUUCGGGGGUACACGAGCGGCGAACGGGUGAGUAACACGUGGGUGACCUGCCCUCAGCUCUGGGAUAAGCCUGGGAAACCGGGUCUAAUACUGGAUAUGACUCCAUGACGCAUGUUGUGGGGUGGAAAGCCUUGUGCGGCUGAGGAUGGGCCCGCGGCCUAUCAGCUUGUUGGUGGGGUGAGGCCUACCAAGGCGACGACGGGUAGCCGGCCUGAGAGGGCGACCGGCCACACUGGGACUGAGACACGGCCCAGACUCCUACGGGAGGCAGCAGUGGGGAAUCUUGCGCAAUGGGCGAAAGCCUGACGCAGCGACGCCGCGUGAGGG